GAUGAACGCUGGCGGCGUGCCUAAUACAUGCAGGUCGAGCGAAUGGAUUAAGAGCUUGCUCUUAUGAAGUUAGCGGCGGACGGGUGAGUAACACGUGGGUAACCUGCCCAUAAGACUGGGAUAACUCCGGGAAACCGGGGCUAAUACCGGAUAACAUUUUGAACCGCAUGGUUCGAAAUUGAAAGGCGGCUUCGGCUGUCACUUAUGGAUGGACCCGCGUCGCAUUAGCUAGUUGGUGAGGUAACGGCUCACCAAGGCAACGAUGCGUAGCCGACCUGGGAGGGUGAUCGGCCACACUGGGACUGAGACACGGCCCAGACUCCUACGGGAGGCAGCAGUAGGGAAUCUUCCGCAAUGGACGGAAGUCUGACGGAGCAACGCCGCGUGAGUGAUGAAGGCUUUCGGGUCGUAAAACUCUGUUGUUAGGGAAGAACAAGUGCUAGUUGAAUAAGUUGGCACCUUGGCGGUACCUAACCAGAAAGCCACGGCUAACUACGUGCCAGCCGCCGCCGUAA
rnacentral:rRNA from 1 species